rnacentral:rRNA from 1 species
UGGUAAGUAUCAGCGCUCGGGAGCCAUCCUCGAGGAGAACAUGCCUGUGAUUGAGUUCAUGGGUAUGGGAGCCUCGUCUUUUACUGUGAGCAAAAUAGAGUGUUCAAAGCAGGCUUACGCCGUUGAAUACAUUAGCAUGGAAUAAUAAAAUAGGACCUUGGUCUAUUUUGUUGGUUAGUACUCCAAGGUAAUGAUUAAUAGGGACAGUUGGGGGUAUUCGUAUUCAAUUGUCAGAGGUGAAAUUCUUGGAUUUAUGGAAGACGAACUACUGCGAAAGCAUUUACCAAGGAUGUUUUCAUUAAUCAAGAACGAAAGUUAGGGGAUCGAAGAUGAUUAGAUACCAUCGUAGUCUUAACCAUAAACUAUGCCGACUAGGGAUUGGUGGUUGUUUAUUUUGACUCCAUCAGCACCUUAUGAGAAAUCAAAGUCUUUGGGUUCCGGGGGGGAGUAUGGUCGCNAAGGCUGAAACUUAAAGAAAUUGACGGGAANGGCACCACCCAGGAAU